rnacentral:rRNA from 1 species
ACCUGCUCUAUGAUAUUAAAUUAAAUGGCCGCGAUAUUUUGAUCGUGCAAAGGUAGCAUAAUCAUUUGUUUUUUAAUUAAGAACUGGAAUGAAGGGUUGAACGAGAAAAAAACUGUCUCAAUUUAAUUUAAUUAGAAUUUUAUAUUUAAGUUAAAAAGCUUAGAUUAUUUUAAAAGACGAGAAGACCCUAUAGAGUUUUAUAUUGAAAUAUUUUUAAGAGUAAUUUAGAAUCAUUUUUUUUAUAAUUUUUUUAGUAUUUGGUUGGGGUGAUUGAAAAAUUUAUUUAACUUUUAUUUAUGAAUUUCAUUAAUUUAUGUUUAUUUGAUCCUAUUUUAUGAUUAAAAGAUUAAAUUAC